rnacentral:rRNA from 1 species
UACGGAGGGUGCAAGCGUUGUCCGGAUUUAUUGGGGUUAAAGGGUGCGUAGGCGGCUAUUUAAGUCAGUGGUGAAAUCCUGCAGCUUAACUGUAGAAUUGCCAUUGAUACUGGAUAGCUUGAGUACAGACGAGGUAGGCGGAAUUUAUGGUGUAGCGGUGAAAUGCAUAGAUACCAUAAAGAACACCUAUUGCGAAGGCAGCUUACUAGGCUGUAACUGACGCUGAGGCACGAAAGUGUGGGGAUCAAACAGG